UGCCUAGCGAGAUUGCUUGCAUGGCUGUCAGCGGCUCCUCCAGAUUGAACGCGUGCUUCAGCCAGUGCAGCGACGAGAAGUACAAGCCCACGCCAGGAAUCACUCUGGUUAUCGACUGCAGAUUUAUAUUCAUUAGUCCGAAGACGUUCUCUUUCUGAACGAUGUGCGCCACCGUGCCCAACAUACCGUUUCUUGGUGAUCUAUUCGGGACGACCCAAAGAUCGAUUAGUAAUUAUGUAGAAAAUGAACGUAAAGUCAAGAUUAACUUGUGGAGAAUCGUGCGAGUUAUUAAUCAAGUUGGAGUCCAGCGGCUGGAAAAGAAUCGUGGAGAACGUCCCGGAGAACGAGCCAGCCAGGAAAGACUUCAGGAUCGGAUACUGCAAAAA